rnacentral:lncRNA from 1 species
AACAACCUGUACCAAACUGGUUGUCGUGGUUGUAAUCAUUGCUAUUAUAUGCCUAUCAUUAGUUAUAGCAGUUAUCGUACUUUUUAUACGAAUUAAAACAUUGCAAGGACAUAUAAAAGAAAAUACUUUAGGUGAACGAUUAAAUGACUUCAAAAGUUUAACUUUGCAUGUUAACUGGACAGACUUCAAAAUUGUGAAUUCAAAACAAAAUGUUAAUAUAACAUGGUUUCAAGAAGAGCAAAACAAAUUUAUAGAUGUAAAAAGGGAUAUCAUUAAUAUCAACCAUAAUGGAACAUAUGAGUUGUACUUGUCUUUAAAUAUUGACAUACCAAGGUUAAGGGGAAAUGCACCAAACGAAUCAAUAAGGAACACAUCACUCAUUUGCCCUAAAACUAACCGAUAUGAGAACCAAUGUCAGCGUCAAAGGUCACUCCCAAAUACAGCAUGUACUGUUUCUAUCAAAGGUGUUUUUCCUCUAUUGGAAGGAGACAAGAUAUGGGUUAGUGUGAUGGGAAUCAAUCAAAUUUAUAAAAGCAAAGCUAACAAUCGUCUCGUUAUUACCAAGUAUAUUU